rfam:Salmo salar isolate Sally breed double haploid chromosome ssa14, whole genome shotgun sequence.
UGCAUUCACUACUGUAAGUUGCUCUAGAUAACAGCGUCUGCUAAAUGACUAAAA